rnacentral:rRNA from 1 species
GUGGGGAAUCUUGCGCAAUGGGCGAAAGCCUGACGCAGCCAUGCCGCGUGAAUGAUGAAGGUCUUAGGAUUGUAAAAUUCUUUCACCGGGGACGAUAAUGACGGUACCCGGAGAAGAAGCCCCGGCUAACUUCGUGCCAGCAGCCGCGGUAAUACGAAGGGGGCUAGCGUUGCUCGGAAUUACUGGGCGUAAAGGGCGCGUAGGCGGACAGUUUAGUCAGAGGUGAAAGCCCAGGGCUCAACCUUGGAAUUGCCUUUGAUACUGGCUGUCUUGAGUUUGGGAGAGGUGAGUGGAACUCCGAGUGUAGAGGUGAAAUUCGUAGAUAUUCGGAAGAACACCAGUGGCGAAGGCGACUCACUGGCCCAAUACUGACGCUGAGGCGCGAAAGCGUGGGGAGCAAACAGGAUUAGAAACCCGUGUAGUCC